rnacentral:lncRNA from 1 species
AAACUUAUAAGUUGUUUCGAAUAAGCUUUAAAAUAAGUCAAUUCAAACGGGUCCAUAAUUAAAAACCUCAACCAAAAGAAUUUUAUAGUAUUGUUGUUAAACUUGAAAGUUAGCCGAUGUAUAUUUGCUAAUGCAUCUCAAGUGUAAUUUCUUUUUCCUCAAGUGGUUACAGUGAAUAAGGAGCUAUAUGUACCAUCCACAACUAUGAGUUCUUUAACUACUCUAAAGUGUUAAGUAUAGUGUUUGAGUGCUCCAAAAUUGGGGAUUGGGUCCUCUCUAGUGAAUGGAGAGGUCCAAUAAAAUCUUAACUAUUUUAGCAUUGAAGUAAAAUAGUCUGUGUAUUUUGUAUGAAUGGAACAAUUAUCCUCUAGAAAUAUAUUUUCUUUUUGUUCUUUAUUAGUAAUAAUUUUAUUUUGAUCCAUUUUUAAUAUGGGUUUUAUGUUGUUAAAGAAGAAAGGUGAAAGAUAAAGAUAGAAUCAAGUGAAAUAUGUGUUGGGGUUGAUUGCAAUGCAAGUCCCACAUUGCUAAUGAAAGAAAAAAAAAGGUCAAAGAAAUUAUAUUGAAGAAGUCUCACAUCGCUUAGAAUGAUGAAGCAAUGGGGAAAUCAAGACUAUAUAAUGGACUUAAGUUCUUUGUUUAUAAUUGCACCAGUCACUCGCACUUUAAGCUUAUAUCUGGCUUUUUUUGUUUUGCUCUUGUACUCUUUUAUUAGAGUGUUGUGAGAUGUAGUUAGAUAUUUGCUUUGGAGAGUGUGGGUGUGUAUUGGGGUCAUGGGGUGUUUGAGAG